rnacentral:tRNA from 1 species
CACUGAGAAGCUUUGUAUUUAGCAUUAGCCUUUUAAGCUAAAGAAGGGUACUAAAAUACCCCUCAAUGA